AUAAACAGACCUUGACAAGGACACUGCUUGGUCUUGCUCUUCUUUCUUGCCCAUUCUCUCGAAGGUAUGGGUUCCCCUCGACCCCCACGAAUAACUGAGUCCCCGCUGGUGGGGGCAAGUGGCACAUGACGUGGGGUUCAAGUUACGGAAGUUGAGGACCCUGGGUAUUUGUCCAGAAAUCGACACAGAUAAAGUGAAAGUAGCUGCGCCGAUCUGGUGUUCAUAGCUAUGCGCUCUCACCGCUCAUGAGAGAAAGACGUAGCAGGAUGCUACAGGAGUGUGCCAACUGCCAGAGUGGCUGGUAAGACAUGCUGAUCCUGGGAGCAUGAAGAUUAAGCUGUCAUGAUUUGGGUCCCUGGAGUCAUUCCUGUGCCCUUGGAGGAAGAUGGAGGAUUCCCCCUCAUCUUUUGUCAGCAUGGAGAUUUUGGCGUUGCUGCAUCAUUGUUAUCGUCACUUCAUGACCUGUCCUACCAUGGCCUGCACUUCAACCCUCCGUGCACUGCUGCAUGCAGGAGAAGACUGGACUCCAACUGCUACCACUGCCCCUCCUCAUUCCCCUGGUGGCUGUUGCCACCAUGACUGGUGUUGCCAUUUUGCAGUCUGUGAUUUCACAGGAAUGCCAUCUGCAUGAAGCUACUGGAGAUUGGGGAACUCUGCCCUGGUUAUGCGGAUCUCAGACCUGGUUCCAUUGCCUGCCGGUUGUUCUAGAGAAGGAUGGCCGAUCCUGAACUGUUUUGGGAAAGACUUUGGCAUCUUCACUGCUAUUGUACCAGCCAUUGCUGCCACUGUGUCUGCAGUGUCUGGAAUUGCCCUCCUACCAGUUUGUUGUUAGGCAAGCACAGUGGGUAAACUUUGUGGAGUAGUUGCUGACGAUUGGGAAUUCUAUUAAAUUUUAAUACAGGAACAGCUUGACAAUGGCCCUCAGUGUUAUGGCCCUUAGGGCACCGCUGUAGUCAGCUUUAUGCUUCUUAUCACAUGCACAAACAGCAUUCCCACUCCUGGGCAGCAACUAAGCAGGUCUAGUUCUGCUUGGUAGGAGACAAACCCUCUGCCCACAUUGGGCUCAGCCUUCACAAGAAGCAGUUAGCUAAGGACAGGCAACUCUUUGGAACCAGGCGUCACCUAAGACAGGAAAUUCUGAGACUGGCAGAAUUUUCCAGAGACAGGAAAGAGGUCUGAUAACCCAAAGUGUCCUAAGACAGGUGCUGCUUAAAAAAUAAUAUAGGGGGACUUGUUUAGUAAAAAAA
rnacentral:sRNA from 1 species